GACAGAGGUGCCAAGCGUUAGGCGGAAUCACUGGGCUUAAAGCGUGUGUAGGCGGAUCGUUAAGUACCUUGUGAAAUCCCACGGCUCAACCGUGGAACUGCUCGGUAUACUGGCGAUCUUGAGCCAUCUAGGGGUCGCCGGAACAAAUGGUGGAGCGGUGAAAUGCGUAGAUAUCAUUUGGAACGCCAAAGGUGAAAACAGGCGACUGGGGAUGUGCUGACGCUGAGACACGAAAGCCAGGGGAGCGAACGGG
rnacentral:rRNA from 1 species